rnacentral:rRNA from 1 species
GGGCCCGCACAAGCGGCGGAGCAUGCGGAUUAAUUCGAUGCAACGCGAAGAACCUUACCUGGGUUUGACAUACACCGGAAAGCUGCAGAGAUGUGGCCCCUUUUUGCUGGUGUACAGGUGGUGCAUGGCUGUCGUCAGCUCGUGUCGUGAGAUGUUGGGUUAAGUCCCGCAACGAGCGCAACCCUCGUCCUAUGUUGCCAGCGGGUUAUGCCGGGGACUCAUAGGAGACUGCCGGGGUCAACUCGGAGGAAGGUGGGGAUGACGUCAAGUCAUCAUGCCCCUUAUGUCCAGGGCUUCACGCAUGCUACAAUGGCCGGUACAAAGGGCUGCGAUGCUGUAAGGCGGAGCGAAUCCCAAAAAGCCGGUCUCAGUUCGGAUUGGGGUCUGCAACUCGACCCCAUGAAGUCGGAGUCGCUAGUAAUCGCAGAUCAGCAACGCUGCGGUGAAUACGUUCCCGGGCCUU